rnacentral:rRNA from 1 species
UGCAUAUCAAUAAGCGGGAGGAAAAGAAACCAACAGGGAUUGCCUUAGUAGCGGCGAGUGAAGCGGCAAAAGCUCAAAUUUGAAAUCUGGCGCCUUCGGUGUCCGAGUUGUAAUUUGAAGAUUGUAACCUUGGGGUUGGCUCUUGUCUAUGUUUCUUGGAACAGGACGUCACAGAGGGUGAGAAUCCCGUGCGAUGAGAUGCCCAAUUCUAUGUAAGGUGCUUUCGAAGAGUCGAGUUGUUUGGGAAUGCAGCUCUAAGUGGGUGGUAAAUUCCAUCUAAAGCUAAAUAUUGGCGAGAGACCGAUAGCGAACAAGUACAGUGAUGGAAAGAUGAAAAGAACUUUGAAAAGAGAGUGAAAAAGUACGUGAAAUUGUUGAAAGGGAAGGGUUUGAGAUCAGACUCGAUAUUUUGUGAGCCUUGCCUUCGUGGCGGGGUGACCCGCAGCUUAUCGGGCCAGCAUCGGUUUGGGCGGUAGGAUAAUGGCGUAGGAAUGUGACUUUACUUCGGUGAAGUGUUAUAGCCUGCGUUGAUGCUGCCUGCCUAGACCGAGGACUGCGAUUUUAUCAAGGAUGCUGGCAUAAUGAUCCCAAACC